AACUUGUUUUCCAUUGAUUGACAAAGUUAUGAAACAUUUGUACACACAUUUCAAUCAUAAUAAACAAACAAAUCUUGUCCGAAGAUGUUCAUUAUCUGAAAUAUCAUCUGGGGCGACCAUCAAGAAAAUACAAAUAAGGGACUUAUAUUCUGAUAAUCAUCUCAAAGAGGAUGUUGCAUCAGCCAGCCUCAUGGUGAGGGUCCCACAGAGACAACUAGCAGAUGGCCCCACUAACAAGCAAAGAAAAGACUGCUCGCUACAGGCAGCGGAAAAUGCUGUUCAAUGUGUCUGCAGAAUGCUGCUAUGUUCAACUGUUAAAUAAAAAUAGUAAUGAAAAUGCAAACAUUGUAUGUUUAA